AAAAUAGCGACGAAAGGGAUUAGUAAAUGACGAUUAUGUGUAAAGAGAGUGACUCCACCGGCUGAAAGGGUCAUCACCGCUAAUCAAUUGAACCUGCCCUCGAGCUAGUCUAUUGACCGUUCACCCACGUUACGGGUUUAAGUGGACAUUCGAUUUGAAUGUCAAUAAAGGUGGUACCGCGGAUACAGUUCGUUCGUCCUUUUC
rnacentral:ncRNA from 1 species